rnacentral:rRNA from 1 species
CCCUUAGAUGUCCGGGGCCGCACGCGCGCUACACUGAAGGAAUCAGCGUGGCUUUCUCCCUGACCCGAAAGGGUUGGGAAACCCGUUGAAUCUCCUUCGUGAUAGGGAUUGGGGCUUGAAAUUGUUCCCCAUGAACGAGGAAUUCCCAGUAAGCGCGAGUCAUAAGCUCGUGUUGAUUACGUCCCUGCCCUUUGUACACACCGCCCGUCGCUACUACCGAUUGAACGGUUUAGUGAGGGCCUCGGAUUGGUCUCGGCCCGCUCUUUACCGGGCGGCGCCGUUGGUCGAGAAGACGCUCGAACUUGAUCGUUUAGAGGAAGUAAAAGUCGUAACA